UACGUAGGGCGCAAGCGUUAUCCGGAAUUAUUGGGCGUAAAGAGCUCGUAGGCGGUUUGUCGCGUCUGCCGUGAAAGUCCGGGGCUCAACUCCGGAUCUGCGGUGGGUACGGGCAGACUAGAGUGAUGUAGGGGAGACUGGAAUUCCUGGUGUAGCGGUGAAAUGCGCAGAUAUCAGGAGGAACACCGGUGGCGAAGGCGGAUCUCUGGGCCUUGCCUGACGCUGAGGCGCGAAAGCUAGGGGAGCGAACAGG
rnacentral:rRNA from 1 species